UAAACAAUUUAUCAUCUUUGAAAACUUGAAGACCUUCUACUUCUAGCUUUAUCUUGCAGAAGGAUAAUGAUUCCUGAUCUAUCUGAAUGAGGUUUAACACCAAGAACCAGAUUAGGCCUUGGACAACUCAGAUGGAAAUUAAAUCUUGUCUGCAUCACUGCUCCAUCUCCAAAUUGACUUGAGCUUUUCUUAUUUACUGACAUUCUAUUUUUGUACAGAUUUAUAUACACUGGAUCUGUAGAAAUUAUAUUGGAUAUUGCACAAGAUCUCCUCAUAGCUACUGAUCAGUAUCUCUUGCAGGGAUAAAGCGUCCCUGUGAGUGUACCAUUGCCCAUGAUAUAUCACUGGAAAAUGUUUCAAGAAUGCAUGAGCUUUCAGAAGCCUUCCAUGCUAUUUCCUUAAGACACACAUGCCUCUUGUCUAUCUUGGAGCAGUUUAGUAAACUGAGUUCUAGGGCCGGUUGAAAGGCACGAUGAGUACAGAAGAAACUCAAAUUUUAUAAAGGAAUUCAUUUUCCUUGGUGGAUGUUUUCCUUCAUUCAUUAGAGUAACAAUGGCCAUACUGUUGCAUCAAGACACUGUGUGGAGCAUCUGGAAAACAUAAGAAUACAUUAUCACCAGACACUCAAACGUUGGAGGAAAAAUUUCUUGGACAAUGAGAGAUACAAAUCAAAAUUCUUAGGGUUCGAAGGGGAUUUGCUGGUCCAGUUGGGGCUGGCUUCUUUAAUUUCAUCACGGCUCUAAGGAAAGAAAUCCGUAUCAUAGUAAGAAGGGGCAAAGAAGAUGCACAAGCUUUUCCUAAGUUCUUGAUUGCGUCCCCUUCAUUUCACGGUGGUCGAGGUGCCCUUCCUUCUGCUGGUGGUCAUCCAGCUGACUUGACUUUCCUUGCUGGUGGCAGGCACUGAGUUUGCGUUUUGGAUUGAUUUCUUUUGGUUUAUUGUUGUUUUACGAGAAUUUUCUACUUAAGCAUGGUAGUCAAGCAGCUCAAAGAUGAUAAUUUUCUGUUGAAGUGUGCUACACCUGAUCAGGCUAAAUGUCCUCAGUUCUCUUUUGGAAGUAUUCAAAUUCCUCUUUACUGCUUUGCUAGCCAGUCUCUUGAUGAUAGUGGUCCCUUUUGAAGGUUUUCAUGCAUCCCAGAUGAUGAACCAAGUACAUUGGAGUCUCUUCUUCUUGCUCAAUGGGAAGACAGAAUGUGGAAAGGCAUUUACAGAUAUGAUGUGACAACAUCAGAAAUUAAGGUCUGAAACACUUUAAGCAGAUCAUUGGUGGAAGGAGAAAGUUUCUUGCUCAGUUGAAUGAAGAAUGGAAUAUGGAUCAUUUAUCAGACCCUGAUGAGAAUGAAGUCUGCUGGCGAGGGGAUUCUUUCAUAUUUAACUGGGUAAAACAUCAUGAGUAGUUGCUCUUCUGUGUUGCAAGUGGUGAAAAGGCAAUCCCUGAGUUGAUUCCUACAGCUCCUGUGCCUAAUGCUUCCAUAUUAGUACUUAGUAAUGUGACCCCUGUUGAAUAUGGUCAUGUCUUCCUGGUUCCUCAUGGCUUUACCAGCAUCUCCCAGUUUAUGGAUGCAAGAUCUUUAGAAAUGGUGACCAGGGUUGCUAUGGAAGUAAAUAAUCGUUCUUUCCGAGUGUUCUAUGACUGCUCUAUGCCUAGUGCUUCUCUAUAUUUCCAGGUACCAACCCGCUAAUCUUAAUGCCUUCCCCACUUUGUUCUAGACAUAUAUUGAUAGCAAUCCGUAUUUAAUGUUGGAACUUGCUAGAUUACUAUAGAAAAACAUAAAUCUUAUUGUUUUAUUUGUUGUGGAGAUAUGAGGAAGGAUAGGUUUGUUAAGUUGGGCAAACCUCUUACACUGAUUGUCUAAAUGAACUUGAGGUUUGAAAUGGAUGGCCAUAAUAUAUUCAGCUGAUCCCUUAUUC